rnacentral:rRNA from 1 species
UACGUAGGGUGCAAGCGUUGCUCGGAUUUAUUGGGCGUAAAGGGUGUGUAGGCGGUUUGAUAAGUUAGAUGUGAAAGCCCCGGGCUUAACCCGGGAAUUGCAUUUAAGACUGUUGAACUUGAAGAUUGGAGAGGUUAGCAGAAUUCCCAGUGUAGAGGUGAAAUUCGUAGAUAUUGGGAAGAAUACCAAUGGCGUAGGUAGCUAACUAGCCAAAUCUUGACGCUGAGGCACGAAAGCGUGGGGAGCAAACAGG